AUGCAGGGGCUUCCCUGGGGAUUUUCUCAGGGACAAUCCCGGGAAAGGGUGGAGACCACCUCUUCUGGAAGGAGAUGACCUCUGAGUCUGUGGUCCUAUCUGCUAGGCUCAGGAAACUGGAAGCUGAAAGAAUACCCGUAUAUUACACCUCAUGAUUCCAGAUGGAGGGGACGGCUUGACGGAAUGGACCUAAGGUCUCAUUGCAAGAGGCAGCCUGAUUUCUACCAAGAACCCUUCUAUCUCUCAGCUGAUGACCCUCUGCCUUCUGGAAGAUGUAUAUGUAAUUUGACACCAGGAUUCUUCUUUUUUUUUUUUUUUUUAAUUU